AGAUGGCGACCGGCGCACGGGUGAGUAACACGUAUCCAACCUGCCGAUAACUCGGGGAUAGCCUUUCGAAAGAAAGAUUAAUACCCGAUGGUAUAAUCAGACCGCAUGGUUUGAUUAUUAAAGAAUUCGGUUAUCGAUGGGGAUGCGUUCCAUUAGGCAGUUGGUGAGGUAACGGCUCACCAAACCUUCGAUGGAUAGGGGUUCUGAGAGGAAGGUCCCCCACAUUGGAACUGAGACACGGUCCAA
rnacentral:rRNA from 1 species